AAAGGGAGACCUAAUUCGGGUAUAAGACGAAAAAAUAGUAGUCGAAACCAAGAAUCAAUCCCAAAAGGUCGGAGCGAGGCGAAAUUGGCUUUCAAACUAGGUUCUGGGUUCACAGAAGACCUGAAUCAGGAACAAGGGCUAUUAGCUUAGGUGGUUAGAGCGCACCCCUGAUAAGGGUGAGGUCCCUGGUUCGAGUCCAGGAUGGCCCACCUGCACAGGUGGUAAAAACAAGAGAAGCGAGGAAUCAGCACCUUAUCUUACUUACAUAGUAAGAGAGAAUGCUGGCUCUGAGUAAAGAGUCCAGAGGAACCUUGAAAACUGCAUAGAGCUAGGUGAAAAAGCCAAAAAAGAAGACCGCAAG
rnacentral:tRNA from 1 species